rnacentral:rRNA from 1 species
GACGAACGCUGGCGGCGUGCUUAACACAUGCAAGUCGAACGGCAAGGCCCCUUUGGGUUUCCUCUACUGGCGGCCGGUUGCGUAACACGUGAGUAACCUGCCCUUUCUUUCGUUAUAACUUCAGUAACCUGGGGCUACUACCGCAUAUGCAUCCUUGCUCCAUGGUGUGGGUUCGAAGGCUUGGGCGGGUUUGGACGGUCUCGUGGCCUAUUGGCUUGUUGGUGGGUUAGUGGCUUACCAAGGCUUUGACGGGUAGCCGGCCUGAGAGGCCGAGCGGCCACAUUGGGACUGAGAGACGGCCCAGACUCCUACGGGAGGCAGCAGUGGGGAAGAUUGCACAAGGGGCGGAAGCCUGAUGCAGCAAGGCCGCGGGCGGGAUGACGGCCUUCGGGUUGUAAACCGCUUUCAGCAGGGGCGAAGCUUGUGGUGACGGUACCUGCAGAAGAAGCACCGGCUAACUACGUG